AGAAAGUUAGUUUAGACAAAAACGUAGAGUUGUCAACUCUAUGAGGCAUAGAAAGUGCACUUUCAG
rnacentral:tRNA from 1 species